UACGGGGGGGGCAAGCGUUGUUCGGAAUUACUGGGCGUAAAGGGCUCGUAGGCGGCCAACUAAGUCAUACGUGAAAUCCCUCGGCUUAACCGGGGAACUGCGUCUGAUACUGGAUGGCUUGAGUUCGGGAGAGGGAUGCGGAAUUCCAGGUGUAGCGGUGAAAUGCGUAGAUAUCUGGAGGAACACCGGUGGCGAAGGCGGAUCUCUGGGCCAUUACUGACGCUGAGGAGCGAAAGCGUGGGGAGCGAACAGG
rnacentral:rRNA from 1 species